rnacentral:rRNA from 1 species
GUGGGGAAUCUUGCGCAAUGGAGGCAACUCUGACGCAGCCAUGCCGCGUGCAGGAAGAAGGCGCUACGCGUUGUAAACUGCUUUUAACCGGGAAGAAACCCCAGGACGUGUCCUGGGUUGACGGUACCGGAGGAAUAAGCACCGGCUAACUUCGUGCCAGCAGCCGCGGUAAUACGAAGGGUGCAAGCGUUAUCCGGAUUCAUUGGGUUUAAAGGGUGCGUAGGCGGAGCGUUAAGUCAGUGGUGAAAUCCUGCAGCUUAACUGUAGACUUGCCAUUGAUACUGGCGCUCUUGAGUGCGCUUGAAGUGGGCGGACUGUGCCGUGUAGCGGUGAAAUGCUUAGAUAUGGCACAGAACACCAAUUGCGAAGGCAGCUCACUAAGGCGAUACUGACGCUGAGGCACGAAAGCGUGGGGAUCGAACAGGAUUAGAAACCCCUGUAGUCC